UGAAUACGAGACGCUAAGGCGUCGAAGUAGUGUAUGUCAUACUUCCAAGAAAAGCUUGCACUGUCAUAGAUAAAAAACGCCUGUACCAUAACCGACACAGGUGGGUAGGUAGAGUAUACUAAGGGGCGCGAGAUAACUCUCUCUAAGGAACUCGGCAAAAUAACUCCGUAGCUUCGGGAGAAGGAGUGCCUUAUUCGUAAGGUUGCAAUAACAAGAUCCAAGCAACUGUUUAUCAAAAACACAGGUCUCCGCUAAGUCGUAAGACGAUGUAUGGGGGCUGACGCCUGCCCAGUGCCAGAAGGUUAAAGAAGUUGGUUAGCAAUUGCGAAGCUGAUAACUGAAGCCCUGGUGAACGGCGGCCGUAACUAUAACGGUCCUAAGGUAGCGAAAUUCCUUGUCGGGUAAGUUCCGACCCGCACGAAAGGCGUAAUGAUUUGGAUACUGUCUCGGAGAGGGGCUCGGUGAAAUAGACUUGUCUGUGAAGAUGCGGACUACCUGCACCAGGACAGAAAGACCCUAUGAAGCUUUACUGUAACUUGAAAUUGAAAUUGGACUUUAUUCGCGCAGUAUAGGUGGGAGGCGUUGAUUAUAAUCUUGUGGGAUUAUUGGAGCCAUCAGUGAGAUACCACUCUUGUAAUGUUAGAUUUCUAACUUUGAAUCAUUAUCUGGUCAAAGAACAGUUUCAGGCGGGCAGUUUGACUGGGGCGGUCGCCUCCUAAACGGUAACGGAGGCGUACAAAGGUUUCCUCUGAACGGUUAGAAAUCGUAUCUAGAGUGUAAAGGCAUAAGGAAGCUUGACUGUGAGACCUACAAGUCGAGCAGGGACGAAAGUCGGUCUUAGUGAUCUGACGGUACUGAGUGGAAAGGCCGUCACUCAACGGAUAAAAGUUACUCUAAGGAUAACAGGCUGAUCUCCCCCAAGAGUUCACAUCGACGGGGGGGUUUGGCACCUCGAUGUCGGCUCAUCGCAUCCUGGGGCGGUAGUACGUCCCAAGGGUUGGGCUGUUCGCCCAUGAAAGCGGUACGCGAGCUGGGUUCAGAACGUCGUGAGACAGUUCGGUCCAUAUCCGGUGUAGGCGUUAGAAUAUUGAGAGGAGCCUUCUUUAGUACGAGAGGACCGAGAAGGACAUACCUCUGGUGUACCAGUUAUCGUGCCAACGGUAAACGCUGGGUAGCUAUGUAUGGAGUGGAUAACCGCUGAAAGCAUCUAAGUGGGAAGCCCACCUCAAGAUAAGUAUUCUC
rnacentral:rRNA from 1 species